UACGUAGGGUGCGAGCGUUAAUCGGAAUUACUGGGCGUAAAGCGUGCGCAGGCGGUCUGUUAAGACCGAUGUGAAAUCCCCGGGCUUAACCUGGGAACUGCAUUGGUGACUGGCAGGCUUUGAGUGUGGCAGAGGGAGGUAGAAUUCCACGUGUAGCAGUGAAAUGCGUAGAGAUGUGGAGGAAUACCGAUGGCGACGGCAGCCUCCUGGGCCAACACUGACGCUCAUGCACGAAAGCGUGGGGAGCAAACAGG
rnacentral:rRNA from 1 species